CUCAGAGAGGCCGUUUCAAACAACACCAAAACCGGACCGGAGAGCCUCAGACCGUCCCUAACAUCCCUGCUGCGAGGCCCGCGGGCUGUGGAAUCUCGCACGUCACCUGGCCCCAGCAGGGCGGCCAGCUGAGGAUUUUAUUUUAUUUUUUUUAAAGUAAAGGCUGAAUUUCGGCUUCAGGGCUUUUUGCCAACGUCUCUACUGACAGGAACCAGCAAACUUCAGGACCCAAAUGAGCAUCUUAAUUUAUUGAUGCAAAACAGUGAAAACCUGUCCACGAGAGUGCUGUGAUAGCUACAAAGGUGAUCAUUUUGAAGCUUAGCUCCUACUGGGGAGGAUUCUUCCAUGGUUGAGGUAGGCAGCCUGAAAAAUGGAAGUAUUAAAUGCAGACUGGUGUGCACUUAUUUGUCUUAUUCUUGACAUGGCUUUGGUGAGCUUUUCUGUGCCUUACUUUUAAGUAAAUAAACUCAGAUUUCACAAAUGUUUUUAUGAACAAGGAAAGGAAUCAAGAAGAGAAUGGAUCUGAGUACUACAGGGGCUGGAGAGAUGGCUCAGUGGUUAAGAGCACUGAC